CCUACGGGUGGCUGCAGUGGGGAAUAUUGGACAAUGGGCGCAAGCCUGAUCCAGCAAUGCCGCGUGUGUGAAGAAGGCCUGCGGGUUGUAAAGCACUUUAAGCAGGAAAGAAGGGGUGAACGUUAAUACCUUUCAUCAUUGACGUUACCUGCAGAAUAAGCACCGGCUAACUCCGUGCCAGCAGCCGCGGUAAUACGGAGGGUGCGAGCGGUAAUCGGAAUUACUGGGCGUAAUGUGCGCGGCCGCUGGUGAAAGCCCUGGGCUUAACCUGGGAACUGCGGUGGAUACGGUCGGGCUAGAGUGUGGUAGAGGGGAGUGGAAUCUCCGGUGUAGCAGUGAAAUGCGUAGAGAUCGGAAGGAACACCAGUGGCGAAGGCGGCUCCCUGGACUAACACUGACGCUGAGGUGCGAAAGCGUGGGGAGCAAACAGGAUUAGAUACCCCAGUAGUC
rnacentral:rRNA from 1 species